rnacentral:rRNA from 1 species
UGGGGAAUUUUGGACAAUGGGCGCAAGCCUGAUCCAGCCAUGCCGCGUGCAGGAUGAAGGCCUUCGGGUUGUAAACUGCUUUUGUACGGAACGAAAAGGUGCCUUCUAAUAAAGGGCGCUCAUGACGGUACCGUAAGAAUAAGCACCGGCUAACUACGUGCCAGUAGCCGCGGUAAUACGUAGGGUGCGAGCGUUAAUCGGAAUUACUGGGCGUAAAGCGUGCGCAGGCGGUUUUGUAAGACAGAGGUGAAAUCCCCGGGCUCAACCUGGGAACUGCCUUUGUGACUGCAAGGCUGGAGUGCGGCAGAGGGGGAUGGAAUUCCGCGUGUAGCAGUGAAAUGCGUAGAUAUGCGGAGGAACACCGAUGGCGAUGGCAAUCCCCUGGGCCUGCACUGACGCUCAUGCACGAAAGCGUGGGGAGCAAACA